rnacentral:lncRNA from 1 species
GAGAGUAAACGAAUAAGAAAUAUAAUUAAAUUCCAUCCACAAAGUGCAAUUUGGUUGCAGAAAAAUUGUGUGUAGUGUGUGUAGUGUGUAGUGUGUGUAUAGUGUGUGUGUGUGUAGUGUGUAUAGUGUGUGUGUGUGUGUAGUGUAUAGUGUGUGUAUAGUGUGUGUGUGUAGUGUGUAUAGUGUGUGUGUGUGUAGUGUGUAUAGUGUGUGUAGUGUGUAGUGUGUGUAUAGUGUGUGUGUGUGUAGUGUGUAUAGUGUGUGUGUGUGUGUAGUGUAUAGUGUGUGUAUAGUGUGUGUGUGUAGUGUGUAUAGUGUGUGUGUGUGUAGUGUGUAUAGUGUGUGUGUAGUGUGUGUAUAGUGUGUAGUGUAUAGUGUGUGUAGUGUAUAGUGUGUGUGUGUAGUGUGUAUAGUGUGUGUGUAGUGUGUGUAUAGUGUGUGUAGUGUGUGUGUGUAGUGUGUAUAGUGUGUGUAUAGUGUGUGUAUAGUGUGUGUGUAGUGUGUGUAGUGUGUGUAGUGUGUGUGUGUAGUGUGUGUAGUGUGUGUGUGUAGUGUGUAUAGUGUGUGUAUAGUGUGUGUGUAGUGUGUGUAGUGUGUGUAGUGUGUGUGUGUAGUGUGUGUAUAGUGUGUGUGUAGUGUGUGUAUAGUGUGUGUAGUGUGUGUGUAGUGUGUAUAGUGUGUGUAGUGUGUGUAUAGGUGUGUGUAUAGUGUGUGUGUAGUGUGUAUAGUGUGUGUGUAGUGUGUAUAGUGUGUGUAUAGUGUGUGUGUAGUGUGUGUAGUAGUGUGUAUAGUGUGUGUAUAGUGUGUGUGUAGUGUGUAUAGUGUGUGUGUGUAGUGUGUAUAGUGUGUGUAUAGUGUGUGUGUAGUGUGUAUAGUGUGUAGUGUAUAGUGUGUGUGUAGUGUGUAUAGUGUGUGUAUAGUGUGUGUGUGUAGUGUGUAUAGCGUGUAGUGUAUAGUGUGUGUAGUGUGUGUAUAGUGUGUGUGUAGUGUGUGUGUAGUGUGUAGUGUAUAGUGUGUGUAUAGUGUGUGUAUAGUGUGUGUAUAGUGUGUGUGUAGUGUGUGUAUAGUGUGUAGUGUAUAGUGUGUGUAGUGUGUAUAGUGUGUGUAUAGUGUGUGUGUAGUGUGUAUAGUGUGUAGUGUAUAGUGUGUGUAGCGUGUGUGUGUAGUGUAUAUAGUGUGUGUAGUGUGUGUGUGUGUAGUGUGUAUAGUGUGUGUAGUGUGUGUGUGUAGUGUGUGUGUAGUGUGUAUAGUGUGUAGUGUAUAGUGUGUGUAGUGUGUGUGUGUAGUGUAUAUAGUGUGUGUAGUGUGUGUGUAGUGUGUAUAGUGUGUGUAUAGUGUGUGUGUAGUGUGUAUAGUGUGUAGUGUAUAGUGUGUGUAGUGUGUGUGUGUAGUGUGUAUAGUGUGUAGUGUAUAGUGUGUGUAGUGUGUGUAUAGUGUGUGUAGUGUGUGUGUGUAGUGUGUAUAGUGUGUGUGUAGUGUGUGUAUAGUGUGUGUAGUGUGUGUGUGUAGUGUAUAGUGUGUGUAGUGUGUGUAUAGUGUGUGUAGUGUGUGUGUGUGUAGUGUGUAUAGUGUGUGUGUAGUGUGUGUGUAGUGUGUAUAGUGUGUAGUGUAUAGUGUGUGUAGUGUGUGUAUAGUGUGUGUAUAGUGUGUGUGUAGUGUGUAUAGUGUGUGUGUAGUGUGUAUAGUGUGUGUAUAGUGUGUGUGUAGUGUGUAUAGUGUGUGUAUAGUGUGUGUGUGUAGUGUGUAUAGUGUGUAGUGUAUAGUGUGUGUAGUGUGUGUAUAGUGUGUGUAUAGUGUGUGUGUAGUGUGUGUGUAGUGUGUAGUGUGUGUAGUGUGUGUAUAGUGUGUGUAGUGUGUAUAGUGUGUGUAUAGUGUGUGUGUAGUGUGUAUAGUGUGUAGUGUAUAGUGUGUGUAGUGUGUGUGUGUAGUGUGUAUAGUGUGUAGUGUAUAGUGUGUGUAGUGUGUGUAUAGUGUGUAUGUUGUGUGUGUGUAGUGUGUAUAGUGUGUAGUGUAUAGUGUGUGUAGUGUGUGUGUGUAGUGUAUAUAGUGUGUGUGUGUAUAUAGUGUGUGUAGUGUGUGUGUGUAUAGUGUGUGUAUAGUGUGUAGUGUAUAGUGUGUGUAGUGUGUGUGUGUGUGUAUAGUGUGUAUAGUGUGUAUAGUGUGUGUGUGUAUAGUGUGUGUAUAGUGUGUAUAGUGUGUGUGUGUGUAGUGUGUAGUGUAUAAAUACCUGUGUAGUAGUGUGUGUGUUGUAUAGUGUAUAGUGUGUAGUGUGUAUAGUGUGUAGUGUGUAUAGUGUAUAGUGUAUAGUGUGUAUAGUGUAUAGUGUAUAGUGUGUAUAGUGUAUAGUGUAUAGUGUAUAGUGUGUAGUGUAUAGUGUGUAUAGUGUAUAGUGUAUAGUGUGUAGUGUAUAAAUACCUGUGUAGUAGUUGUUGAUGCUGCUGUUGUUCAGAGACUCAGCGAUCAGAUUCAGACUGUUCUUACUGCGGGUACAGCUGGCAUUCAUCUCUACAUAACUAUAACCCAGCUCCUACACACACACACAGAGACAGCUGGCAUUCAUCUCUACAUAACUAUAACCCAGCUCCU